GAUGAACGCUAGCUACAGGCUUAACACAUGCAAGUCGAGGGGAAACGAUAUUGGAAGCUUGCUUCCGAUAGGCGUCGACCGGCGCACGGGUGAGUAACGCGUAUCCAACCUGCCCACCACUUGGGGAUAACCUUGCGAAAGUAAGACUAAUACCCAAUGAUAUCUCUAGAAGACAUCUGAAGGAGAUUAAAGAUUCAUCGGUGAUGGAUGGGGAUGCGUCUGAUUAGCUUGUUGGCGGGGUAACGGCCCACCAAGGCGACGAUCAGUAGGGGUUCUGAGAGGAAGGUCCCCCACAUUGGAACUGAGAAACGGUCCAAACUCCUACGGGAGGCAGCAGUGAGGAAUAUUGGUCAAUGGGCGAGAGCCUGAACCAGCCAAGUAGCGUGCAGGAUGACGGCCCUAUGGGUUGUAAACUGCUUUUAUAAGGGAAUAAAGUGAGUCUCGUGAGACUCUUUGCAUGUACCUUAUGAAUAAGGACCGGCUAAUUCCGUGCCAGCCGCCGCGGUAA
rnacentral:rRNA from 1 species